CCUUAUGUAUCGGGGAGACCUCGGCGGGUGACCACCGGGAAGGGUAGCGGAAACGCUUUUCGUUCCAUCUUGUCCGGUCCGUAGUUUCGGCGGCCCCCUACGGGUGAACCUGCGGGAUGCGUCCGAAACGGGGAAAAAUCGAUCUGCGUACGUGUCUUCCUAUUUUGGAUGCUCACGCGCGUGGACGCGAAGCCUAGCGCUUAGAGGGGAUAGAGAACAAGAGAAAACAACAAAAUACGUUUCGGCCCGU